AGCUUUGUGCAACCGCAGUAUCAUAGCCAGUGAGGUUUAUCUGAAGCGUGAUUAUUGCUCAUUGAAAACCUUUGUGUGACUUAUAAACUGCCUCAACCAUUAUUUAAAAAUA
rnacentral:snRNA from 1 species